rnacentral:lncRNA from 1 species
GUACAGCCGGGCUCAUUGAAAAUGCCUGUUUUAGUGUCUUAAUCUUCUUGCCUCUCCUACCCUCAGUGCCUGCAAAGCCGCCAUACCUGCAGAACGCGGUGACGGAUCCGCGGCCAGCGUCUUUACGUACGGGACCAUUCAGAUCCAGGAUGGAGGAAGUAGGAAGAGGAAAGUUGAAGGAGAAACCUUCCAAGGUGUCAACCCUCAUCAGUCAGUUUGAGGAGAACAGCUGCAGCAAGACGAGAAGGGACGGCCCGCUGCUCAAGCAGGCCCUCAGAGUGUCCUCCGGCAGCAGUCUGCCGUGCAAGGGCCCCCAGAGGCCGAGGGAGCCUCCGCCGCCCUCAGCGGCGCCGACCACGGAGACGGGUUCCGAAACGGAUGCCCCAAAAGAUGACCUUCAGCAAGCCCCCAACGGAGCGCUAGUUCCGAUGGAGCCCUCGGAAGGCCGGUCGGAGGACGCCCCCGCUCCGGAGGAACGCGGCGCCCCGCAGGCAGAUGCCGUCCUCGUGAACGGAGACGCCGGGGACGAGUCUUCGGACGGCCAGUCUGACACGGACAGGACCGACUCCGAGUCGAAGGGCCUUCCUCGGGAGCGAGGAGGACGAGAGGAGGACAGCAGCUCUCCUCAGGAGGAAGAGAAAGCGGAACCAAAGGUGAGCGGGGGACCAAGGGAAAGGGUGGCUCAACGGCGAAGGGAAGCAGAGGGACGCGUCUUUGCGCUCUGCACACCCUCUCCUAUCGGCACACACUGCUGCAUGAUUAUAAAUGCCGUUACUUCGUUUUGGUACGAGCUUCAAAUCACGGGGAGCGGAACUGAUCAGAGUACUUACCCUGAAUUGCUCCAGUAAAAAUUACCAAGAUAUAUAAAUGGGUCAAUAACUGUAAGUACCUGAAUAUUAUAAACCGUUUUGGAGAGAAAGUUUGAUAAAUGUAAAGAUGUCGUCUCCAGAUAACGGUUGGCACGCUGUAAAUAUUUUAAGGUAAUGACUUUGCACGAACUGUCUUGAUCUGGGAGAGUUUUAAUUACCAUGAAAUACUCUUUGUAUUCCUGAUGUUGCAAAGCAUGUGCUGGUACUGUAGUGGUUAAAGCUGUCGCCUUUGGACCCAAAGGUCACAGGUUUGAAUCCCACCUCCAAGUGUAAUACCCUUGAGCAAGGUACUUACCCUGAAUUGCUCCAGUAAAAUUACCCAGCUGCAUUAAUGGGUAAAUUUAAGCUGCUUUGGAGAACGGUAUCAGAUAAAUUUUAAAUUGUAUCCCCCCCCCCUCAUAUUGCACAAUAUAAACAUGUUGGGCUCUGACUUACCCUGCUUUACACAACAACAUGUUUAUAUUUUUGUUAGGUGUUGCUUAAACCAAAAAAA